UGCCUAUUAGUUUAGUUGGUUAGAACAUCGUGCUAAUAACCUGAAAGUCACAUGUUUGACUCCUGUUUGGGCCA
rfam:Glycine max cultivar Williams 82 chromosome 15, whole genome shotgun sequence.